rnacentral:rRNA from 1 species
UACGUAGGCAGCAAACGUUGUUCGGAGUUACUGGGCGUAAAGAGUACGUAGGCGGUUUGCCAAGUUUGGUGUGAAAUCUCCUGGCUUAACUGGGAGGGUGCGCCGAAUACUGGCGGGCUUGAGUAUUGGAGAGGAAAGCGGAAUUCCUGGUGUAGCGGUGAAAUGCGUAGAUAUCAGGAGGAACACCGGUGGUGUAGACGGCUUUCUGGACAAUCACUGACGCUGAGGUACGAAGGCGUGGGUAGCAAACAGG